rnacentral:sRNA from 1 species
AUGACAACCCUGCAAAGACUAAAGUCUUCCACUCCUAAAAAAGAUAGGAUUGGCAGCCACAGGGCAAGAUGACCUGAUACCCACACCCUGGCCGACACACUUCACCCUUGGCCUCAAGGAACCCCCUCAGAUGGGGGACAUGGGAGUUCAGUCUCCAUGACUCCAUUCAAUCCUUAUUCUUUU